rnacentral:rRNA from 1 species
UACGGGGGGGGCAAGCGUGGUUCGGAAUUACUGGGCGGAAAGGGCUCGUAGGCGGCCAACUAAGUCAGACGUGAAAUCCCUCGGCUUAACCGGUGAACUGCAUCUGAUACUGGAUGGCUUGAGAUUGGGAGAGGGAUGCGGAAUUCCAGGUGUAGCGGUGAAAUGCGUAGAUAUCUGGAGGAACACCGGUGGCGAAGGCGGCAUCCUGGACCAACACUGACGCUGAGGAGCGAAAGCCAGGGGAGCAAACGGG